ensembl:lncRNA
GAAAAGUUCUCAAUGUCCAGCUUGAUUUGUCUUCAGUAUUUUCUUGUGAUUGUUGCUUUUGCUGAGCAGCUAGUGUGGACUGGGAAGCAUUAAAAGGCAUAGCUCAUUGCUCUCUAAUGGUAGGGAAGGCAAGAAGCAGGGUUGAUGAACUCAGUAUUUUGCUGGGCAACACGAGUGAUCUUUAUGAUCAAAGCAGACACGUAUUUGUCAGUAUUUAUUUGACUGUUCCAGAGAAGUCAGAUAAGCCCUCUGUAACCCUUUUUCCUGGAGCUCUGUGCCAAAAUGACCCACAAUCACAAACAAAUGCAAAAAUGAAAAAUCUUUGGGGAUCAAGUCUAAGCAAGCGAUGAGGGAGACAUCCCUCCAGAAAACUCCUGAAUUAGUGCUUCCUACUCUAGUUCUUCUUCUCUAGGGAAAACUCCUCCUGAAGUGUGAAUUUUCACCUGGACAAACUACCCAAAGACUACUCGAACUCCAUGUCUUGAGCUCCUGUCAGUCAUCACCGGAAGAAGUGCUGUAAUCCAAGACAAAUGUGUGGCAGGUAAUUCCCGGUAAGUUGUUGAACUGUCAUUAAAUAGUACAUAAGCUAUUCAGUCAUUCAGUAUUCACAGAGCAAUAGAAAGAGUGGCUGUGACCUUGUAAAUUAGUGAGGGUGCAUCUGUCUGAUCAGAGGGCUUGAGUUCUGGUCCUCUUCAAGUUAGCAUGAAAACAUUUCACAGAGGACUAAACAGCUGCAAGAGAAGAUCCCAACAAUCAGAUUCCCAAAUAUUUUGGGCAAUAAUCUUGUGUAUCAGCAAGAGGGUCUGACUCUAGGUGUCCACUGUGCUAGCUCAGGGUUCUAAUUACAGGCUGCUACUUGGACUGACAUGAUGUCUGCUGCUGAAGUGAAUUGUUCUAUGAUUGUGCCUGUGCCAGUCUGGGAACAGCAUAAAGGCAGAAAAGCAUCUGCUUCUGACACCAGGACUCCUGAGCGCAGUGAAUCUGUGUUGCCAUGCAGGAGUCAAAAGGGGUUAACGACAAACCUUUUAUCACCAAUGAGUAAAGAAAUUCCUCAAAAUCUAAGCCUUGCUCUCUGCAAUUCUUCUCAUCUGUGUUUCUUCCUGUUAUACUCAAAGGUCUGCAAGAGAGACUAUGGGGUCAUUGAACACAUCUGGACAGAUUGCUGAUGUGCAGAAACCUGCAUGGAGAAGAGAGUAGGACAGCUGUAAGAGAAAUCUGUGUUCCUGAGCACUCCUGAAGCUGCUCUUUGAGAGAAAUGUAGACUUACUCAUAGACUUGAGGCCCAGAAUAUAUCAGAGGAACAUUUAGUCCGAAAUGAUGUCUCAUAGAGUAAUGUAUUCCACUAUAAACCGUUUUCUCUAACCUUCAUAUUAUUCUUCUCUUCUUCACCUUUUAAAGCCCUCUUUUUCACCUUUUAAAACUCUCUUUUAUUCUGCACACCUGAUUAACUCAGCAUAAUUCUGGUAUCAGUCACAUCAAUGUUUUCAUAGUAUUAGUUAGCUGUCUGUCUUUUCUUUCUGUCCAAAUACGGUUCAUAUUACCUGACUAUGGACAUAUGCAAUGAAGGGAUAUGUAUCUGGGCUAAUACUCUGGACUUCUUUUACAGUCACUGGGAAGAGAUAGAGAACAGUUUAAUUGCUUCAGCUUUCUUUUAGCAUCACAUUUACUCUAACUUUGAGUAACAAGGAAUUGCAUCCCUUCUGGACUUGCACAAAAUCAGAAAUCUUCCACUAUUUCAGGUCAGAGUAUGAGGAAAAUCACAUUAUCUGAAGUAUAGGAAAUGUACAAUAAAAUACUAAGAUGUUUUGCCA